rnacentral:tRNA from 1 species
GGCCCUAUCGUCUAUCGGUUAGGACAUGACCUUCUCAAGGUCGAAAGCGGGGUUCGACUCCCCGUAGGGUCA